GGUGGCGCGAAGUCCUUGCAGGUGGAUGCAUGUUGGCUUCCUCCGGCUGUCACCGACGUGCACUGACAGGUGAGGAACAAAGAAACAUGGAUUGAAUCUAUUGUCGGUAAAGAAAAUGUUGGCUCGGAUGUUAUGGGCACAACCGGUGAGAUGGUUGUUGUGUGGAUAGAGAAUCAGCUCCAUGAAAACAAAACAAAUGAGCUGAUAUUGCAAUAGGUUAACCAGGUUACUUUGUGAUUUGCCUUGCCCUAUACCAUUCUCUGAUGCAAUGUAAUUCGUGAAAGAAAGGUAACAGGUGACAAUACUUUUGCCUUUUAUUCCAGCUGCGUGAGCGUCUACGGAGCCCGAACAGGGAGUCAACAGUCAGCUGUUGUCAGAUCUCGAAAAUGCGGGUUCUUUUACGACCACCAUGGAUCCCUCACCCCAAGUCAUGAUCCAGUUGCUGAAUGUCCACAAGAAAAUUUAUGUAUUAAAGGGACCUCAUUCCCCAAGCUACUCGACGAAAAAUAAAAUGUAUGCAUGUGCCA